UACGUAGGAUCCAAGCGUUAUCCGGAUUCACUGGGUUUAAAGGGUGCGUAGGUGGAAUGACAAGUCAGUGGUGAAAACCUGCAGCUUAACUGUAGAACUGCCAUUGAUACUGUUAUUCUUGAGUACAUUUGAUGUGAGUGGAAUGUGUCGUGUAGCGGUGAAAUGCUUAGAUAUGACACAGAACACCAAUUGCGAAGGCAGCUCACAAAACUGUAACUGACACUGAGGCACGAAAGCGUGGAGAUCAAACAGG
rnacentral:rRNA from 1 species